ACGAACGCUGGCGGCGUGCUUAACACAUGCAAGUCGAACGGAAAGGCCCUGCUUUUGUGGGGUGCUCGAGUGGCGAACGGGUGAGUAACACGUGAGUAACCUGCCUUUGACUUUGGGAUAACUUCAGGAAACUGGGGCUAAUACCGGAUAGGAGCUCCUGCUGCAUGGUGGGGGUUGGAAAGUUUCGGCGGUUGGGGAUGGACUCGCGGCUUAUCAGCUUGUUGGUGGGGUAGUGGCUUACCAAGGCUUUGACGGGUAGCCGGCCUGAGAGGGUGACCGGCCACAUUGGGACUGAGAUACGGCCCAGACUCCUACGGGAGGCAGCAGUGGGGAAUAUUGCACAAUGGGCGGAAGCCUGAUGCAGCAACGCCGCGUGCGGGAUGACGGCCUUCGGGUUGUAAACCGCUUUCGCCUGUGACGAAGCGUGAGUGACGGUAAUGGGUAAAGAAGCACCGGCUAACUACGUG
rnacentral:rRNA from 1 species